UUUUUUCUCUUUUGUUUAUUUUGUUUGAGACUGUUGUUUCUUAUGUGUUCCUGGCUGGCCUGGCACUCAUGUGUAGCCCAAACUAGCCUCAAACUCAUGGCAGUCAUCCUGUCUCAGUCUCCCAAGAGACUC
ensembl:miRNA